rnacentral:lncRNA from 1 species
UUAUCAGAUGGUCGUGAAGUGGCAAUCAAGAGAGAACGCAUAAAUCAACAGAGGAACAAUUUUGGAGAGGAGCCAACCACUUUUGAAUCUGAGUUGACAUUCUUGUCGAGGCUUCAUCACAAACAUUUCGCUAGGCUUGUUGGAUACUGUGAAGAGAAGAAAGAAAUGUUUUUAGUUUUUGAGUACCUGAAAAAUGGAUCUAUAUAUAACCAUUUGCAUAACAAAAACAACAUUGAGAAGAAUAGUAUUGUGUUCCGGUCAUGGAAAAUGAGCAUCAAGAUUGCAUUAGAAGCUGCUAUAGGGAUUGAAUAUCUGCACAAUUAUGCAGUCCCACCGAUAAUUCAUGGAAACAUCAAGUCUUCUAACAUUUACCUUGACGAGAACUGCACGGUAAGAGUUUCUGAUUUUGGAUUUUCAGUGUGUCCUGAAACUGGAUGCUUUAACAGACUAAAGCACGCAGCAGGAAUGGUGGG